rnacentral:tRNA from 1 species
GCCUGAUGGGCUUAAUUGGUAGAGCACACGACUCUUGAUCUUGAUGUUGUGAGUUCAAGCCCCACGUUGGGUG